CUAGCUAUUCGUGGAUAUCACGGGCGCCAUCACAAGCUGCUAAAAUUAAUAGCCCAAUCGCCCCCUCCUCGCUUCCCGGGGUUUGUGUGCCCUUACUGAGUUCCUUUCUACCAUUUCCUCCUAUCAUCUUGCGCGGGCGUUGCAGUUCUAGGUUAACCUUCUAUGUAUGGUCCGUCCGCCUGCGCGGGGCUGCACUCCACACUCUGCAUGGGCUUUUACUCUAUCCAUCCCUGGCUCUUUCAAACCUAUUGCGUUGCCGUAUAUGCACAGAGUUGCGGGCAAAAAUAAAAAAAAAAUAAAAAAAAAUACUAGAGCAUGCAACUUGAACCUGCAUAUCUUUGCUCUGGCCACAUACAUUCACAUCCGUCCAAAAAAGCAC
rnacentral:sRNA from 1 species